AUGGUAACUACUAGCUAUAGAGUUGCUAUAAAAUGUCAAUAGAAAUGUAUAAUAAGUACAUAUUUCAAUAAAAUUGUGACGGCUAAAGAAAAACGAACUAUAAGCAGUGGUUAUCAUAUGCAGCAUUUUGAUUGGCCAUUUCGGUACUUAUUACCUUUAAUGCAAUCGAUCUAGUCAUUCUUAUUUUUUUACAAUUCUGUACUAUAAACUACUGUCUGUACGUGUAGGUAUUCGGUCUAUACAUGUAUUUAUAUUUAAUAAUGAAUACCUAUAAUUAAAAUAACAAAUUAGGUA